AGUGAACGCUGGCGGUAGGCCUAACACAUGCAAGUCGAACGGCAGCACAGUAAGAGCUUGCUCUUACGGGUGGCGAGUGGCGGACGAGUGAGGAAUACAUCGGAAUCUACUUUUUCGUGGGGGAUAACGUAGGGAAACUUACGCUAAUACCGCAUACGACCUACGGGUGAAAGCAGGGGAUCUUCGGACCUUGCGCGAUUGAAUGAGCCGAUGUCGGAUUAGCUAGUUGGCGGGGUAAAGGCCCACCAAGGCGACGAUCCGUAGCUGGUCUGAGAGGAUGAUCAGCCACACUGGAACUGAGACGCGGUCCAGACUCCUACGGGAGGCAGCAGUGGGGAAUAUUGGACAAUGGGUGCAAGCCUGAUCCAGCCAUACCGCGUGGGUGAAGAAGGCCUUCGGGUUGUAAAGCCCUUUUGUUGGGAAAGAAAAGCAGCAGGUUAAUACCCCGCUGUUCUGACGGUACCCAAAGAAUAAGCACCGGCUAACUUCGUG
rnacentral:rRNA from 1 species